UACAAUGUGUCAUCCGAUUUCUACGUGUUUAUUGAUAACCCAAUAUGAAAUUCUUUUUCUUUUAAUAUUUUUCACGGAUCAAUUUCUAAUCCAUAAAAAAAAUACUAGUAUUUCCAACUUAUCCAUCCUAAGACUCCACUCUUUCCUUUCAAAUCAACCGUGAAUAGAAGCAGUGCUAGAUAUGCAAGACCUUCUCUCUUCCAACUGAGCCCAGCAGUCUAUGAGCCCAAAAAGAUCAUCAUAAAGAAACCUACAACACCCCAAAUCAG